ensembl:lncRNA
UAUAUAUAUGAAGGAAAAAAGGAAGCGGAAAUGAGUACAAUGUUGGAUUGUAAAGGAUUACAGCUAAUGUAUGAGUAGACCAGCUAGUUAUUUAUAUACUGAUUCAUGCUACAUAUGCAUGCACUAUGUUAAUGAUGUUAAUGGGAUUCUUAUACAUCAGAUGUGUUAUUUUCUGCAGAAUCUGUUGGUUCAGUGCAACCAAUCACUAAGUUAAACCUGAGGCAGUAGGUGCUAUUAGUUUCAGAAGCAUGUGGAUCAUUUUAGAUUGAGGGGGGCAUUUUUAAAUUGAGGGUUAUCGUGCUGCUUUCAAUAUCAUUUUUAUUUGCAGCUACAGGAAGGAACGUUGUCAUCGAAAUGCUUAUUUUUUUCUUCUACAAUUUGUUUGCAAACCUCAUUGUUGCUGUGAGCUCCGACCUUCGGGCAAAUGGCAAACAGCUCGGCAUGCUUUAAUAAUAAACAGCUAAACGUGCUUUUACAGUGGUGAUGAUGUUCAGAGCUCCUCCAUCCCAUCGAACCCUCAUUGUUCAAGCCGCAGGUCACGAGGUCACUCUGAGUCUGUUUGACACACAGCUCCACAUCUCUUAUCCAGCUGACGUUUCCACGAUGUUUGACUCUCCGUUAAAAAGGUUGGGGACCCAAAUCAAACCGGCCCGAUGCAAAAGAAAUAUAUGACAUCAGCGCCAUGGCGUGACAGAACACUGCGAUACGCCACUGGAGCUGUCCAUGUGACGCAGCAGAAACACCACUCCUCCUUAUCAGGGGAAUGAAUGAGUGAUGGUCGGGCCCGGCUGCAGGAACACAUUAACAGAAAUAACAGAUUCAGCCGGAAUGAUAAACAGACUUUUUUCCCAGCCGACGGCGCUGCAACUCUCAGAGGAGCCACAAGGAAAGAACAUUUUCUGAAACACAGCAGACGGCUUCGCAGCGGUCAUGACUUUAAAGUCCCCUCAUAGAAAUAACAUAAAUAAUGACUUUUGUGAGAGAUAAUGUAUUACUGUUCUGGAAUGACAGUCUGCCCGUAAAUAUUUCAAUGUUCUCUAUGAAAAAAGUGGAAUUCAUUAAGUGCUUCAGCACUGAAUGUUUUUUUCUUCUAUCCUGGCCAAACUGUGGCAGCCGAAGAAAAAUGAAAUCAAAACGUGAAGGAAGUACAAAAUGUCAAGCAGAGGACAGUUUAGAACAGUGUGUCAGGCGGAGGACACUUCAGAGACGUGUGUCAGGCAGAGGACAGUUUAGAACCGUGUGUCAGGCAGAGGACGGUUUAGAGACGUGUGUCAGGCGGAGGACGGUUCAUGAUGCCCUGAGUCUGAGUGAAAACCUUUCAGAACCAAAGAUCCAACAAAGGAUCUUUGACUUUCCUCACAUGAUUAUUACGAUACGUGCUCGUGUUCCAUCCAAACAAGAAACACAAAAGAGUCUUCUCAAUUUCCCUGUUUCAUAUACUGAAAUGUAUCUUCACUGGUUUUCACGUUGGAUGUGGACGCCUUCGCGGGGGAGAUGCGACGUGUUCUUCAGAUUGCGUGAAGGAAGGAACUGAGACUCUUAAUUUCUCUGAUCCCGCGGCUUCCUGAAAUGGCCGGCUUAAACCAUGUUCUGCUGUUCUCCCUCCUCCCACCGGAGACCCUCUAUCCCGUCCCAGACAGCGAACGGGCUGGUUUAAGCCGCACUAAGUCACUCUCAGCUCUGCGGCCUCAGCUCGUGUAAGCCGAUUCAUGCCGAAUAACACCAUGUUAAUCUGGGGUUUACAACGCGACUAAGCAACUUGAUUUCCGCUCCUCUGUAAACCUGGAAACGCCGCGGCGGCAACUGGACGCAUGGCUGGAGGGUUUUUGUUGUUACUGUUCCAAAGAUGUUCAUGUUUUCAUCUCAAGUUCUGCUUUGUGUUGCCAGAGAAAGGAUAUACACACAAACACACACACACACACACACACACACACUAAUCCCAGCAGUUCCCAACGCCGACAUUCAUUUUCCUCCUCUCACUAAAAUCUAUAAAAAUAUGAUAUCACAUAUAAAUGUGACGUUUGUACCUUUAAAAUGCUUUGAUCUCAAGGUGGAUACGGACCAUAAAGUGAGGUUAAAAUCCCCCGUGAAAUACUUUUAAUCCAUGCAACCUUGGAAAAAAAACAUCUGAAGUCAGUUAAAAUUUGAGACGGUUAGAAGCCUGAAUCGUGACUCUCAAAUUAAGUCUGUAUUCAGACUUUGGCGGCCUCGACAGGGAGUUUGAGGGUUCCCACCAGGAACCCUCCGACUCAAAACCUCCUGAAGAUGAUCAGCAGUUCAUCAAACCGACCGAAAGUCACUUUAUUUGACAAACUGCUUCCUUGUCAGUGAUCUCUGCAGUUAACUGUAGCGCCGCCAUGAGGGCGGUUCCUGCUCAAAGCUGACCUGCAACUCUAUUCAUCUAUUCAAGGCCAGAGCCUUCAGUUAUCAAGCUCCUCUUUUGUGGAACCAGGUUCCACUUUCAGUCCGGGGGGCAGAUUCGGUCAGCUCUUUUAAAGUAAAACUUUCCUCUUUGAUUCUGCCUAUAGUUAGGGCUGGCUCAGGUUAGUCCGGACCAGCCCUUAGUUAAGCUGCUAUAGGCUUAGACUUUUUAGGACACACCGAGCUCCUCUCUCACGCUCUCGUUCUACCAUAAUCCACGUUUUAUUAAUGCACAUGACUAAUUCAGCUUCUUUCCGGGAGUUGUUUUGUGCUUUCUCCCCUAGCAGGUCUCCGUAGAUCGUGGUUCCUUCUGGACCCUGGUCCUGACACCUACCGUGGCCCUGCUGCUGCCAUCAUCAUCAUCAUCAUCAUCAUUAUUUUAGAUAUUAAUCAUAUUUCUGUACUCGUAAACCAACAUUACCCUCUCCUAAAGUCUCUGUGCUCUCCCUCCCCACAGGCUUCUGUGGAUGGUGGUUCUAUCUGACGGUGGUUCUAUCUGAUGGUGGUUCUAUCUGACGGUGGUUCUAUGUGAUUGUGGUUCUAUCUGAUGGUGGUUCUAUCUGACGGUGGUUCUAUCUGUUGGUGGUUCUAUCUGAUGGUGGUUCUAUCUGACGGUGGUUCUAUCUGACGGUGGUUCUAUGUGAUGGUGGUGCUAUCUGAUGGUGGUUCUAUGUGAUGGUGGUUCUAUCUGACGGUGGUUCUAUCUGACGGUGGUUCUAUGUGAUGGUGGUUCUAUGUGAUGGUGGUACAAUCUGAUGGUGGUUCUAUCUGACGGUGGUUCUAUGUGAUGGUGGUUCUAUGUGAUGGUGGUACAAUCUGAUGGUGGUUCUAUCUGACGGUGGUUCUAUGUGAUGGUGGUACAAUCUGAUGGUGGUUCUAUCUGACGGUGGUUCUAUGUGAUGGUGGUACUAUCUGAUGGUGGUUCUAUGUGAUGGUGGUUCUAUGUGAUGGUGGUUCAAUGUGAUGGUGGUACUAUCUGAUGGUGGUACUAUCUGAUGGUGGUUCUAUGUGAUGGUGGUUCUAUGUGACGGUGGUUCUAUGUGAUGGUGGCUCUAUGUGAUGGUGGUACUAUCUGAUGGUGGUUCUAUGUGAUGGUGGUUCUAUCUGAUGGUGGUUGCCCCUGCCACACCGUCACCAUUUUACCAAAGAACAUCAAUCAACAAAUCCCUUCAGAUGUCAUUUUUACAUCUUUUUAUCACACGUGCACACAAAACGUAAUCCACACAAAGGGUCCGACAUCACUUGAGCCAUGUGAUCAGAGGCCCGGCGUGG